GCGCUCUUCGUGUUAGUCGCGCGAGUUUUCUGGAUUGAUGCUCUUGUAUUCUUUUCAAUCUGCUUUGUGCUGCUCUGGAUAUUUAUUUUAUUUGCUUCGAUUCUUCCCAGAGAUGCUGACCUGACUCUAGAUGUAGCCGUAGUUUUCAUUAUUGGCUUCGUUUUUCUGGCAAUUGGAAUAUUCUUUUUGAUGGUGCAUUUCGCUAUACCUCGGUCUGGGUACUACUUCUAUCUAGUCUCUGAAAUCGCGAUUACUAUAGCAAUACUAGCUUUCGUAAUGUACCACGCACAAACCAUCAACGGCGGUCGGUUUGCGGAGAUGCGGCUAAAUGAUGCACUUUUGGGAUCAUUAAUUCUCUUCCACGACUUUCUCAUUAUUUAUUGGCUAACUUUCUAUUGGCAAAUCUUAGUGAGACCAUUCACGCCCCAUAAUUGGAUACUCUUGGCGGACAUAAAAGAUGCUACUACUGCUGCACCUUGUGGUGUUUUGAGUCCUGGGGGUACG